rnacentral:rRNA from 1 species
AACGAACGCUGGCGGCAGGCUUAACACAUGCAAGUCGAGCGCCCCGCAAGGGGAGCGGCAGACGGGUGAGUAACGCGUGGGAAUCUACCCAUCUCUACGGAAUAACUCAGGGAAACUUGUGCUAAUACCGUAUACGCCCUUCGGGGGAAAGAUUUAUCGGAGAUGGAUGAGCCCGCGUUGGAUUAGCUAGUUGGUGGGGUAAUGGCCUACCAAGGCGACGAUCCAUAGCUGGUCUGAGAGGAUGAUCAGCCACACUGGGACUGAGACACGGCCCAGACUCCUACGGGAGGCAGCAGUGGGGAAUAUUGGACAAUGGGCGAAAGCCUGAUCCAGCCAUGCCGCGUGAGUGAUGAAGGCCCUAGGGUUGUAAAGCUCUUUCACCGGUGAAGAUAAUGACGGUAACCGGAGAAGAAGCCCCGGCUAACUUCGUGCCAGCCGCCGCGGUAACAC